rnacentral:tRNA from 1 species
GCCGAAGUGGCGGAACUGGCAGACGCACUGGACUCAAAAUCCAGCGUUGGCGACAACGUAUCGGUUCGACUCCGAUCUUCGGCACCA